GAUGAACGCUGGCGGCGUGCCUAAUACAUGCAAGUCGAGCGAACAGACGAGGAGCUUGCUCCUCUGACGUUAGCGGCGGACGGGCGAGUAACACGUGGAUAACCUACCUAUAAGACUGGGAUAACUUCGGGAAACCGGAGCUAAUACCGGAUAAUAUAUUGAACCGCAUGGUUCAAUAGUGAAAGACGGUUUGCUGUCACUUAUAGAUGGAUCCGCGCCGCAUUAGCUAGUUGGUAAGGUAACGGCUUACCAAGGCAACGAUGCGUAGCCGACCUGAGAGAGUGAUCGGCCACACUGGAACUGAGACACGGUCCAGACUCCUACGGGAGGCAGCAGUAGGGAAUCUUCCGCAAUGGGCGAAAGCUUGACGGAGCAACGCCGCGUGAGUGAUGAAGGUCUUCGGAUCGUAAAACUCUGUUAUUAGGGAAGAACAAAUGUGUAAGUAACUAUGCACGUCUUGACGGUACCUAAUCAGAAAGCCACGGCUAACUACGUG
rnacentral:rRNA from 1 species